GAACUUUCUCUGGUUUGUAAUCAGCGGGGCCUAUAGGCGAGGCAAUCAGAAAUUAAUAUUGUCUAUCGUUAUUUAUUAAAUUCUAUCUUUGCAUGUUAAUAGUAUGUCAAAGAAAUACAUAUUUUGGAAGAAAUUAGUCAAGAUUCACCUUUUCCGGACUGUAUGUACCAGGUGCUAUGACAAGAAUAAACAUCAAAUAUAAAAAUGAAUGAUCAAAUUUAAGUUUCAAUAAAAUACCUAAAACAUACCAGGAA